AAAAAAGAAAAGAAUAUUAGCCAUGCUAAUCAUGACUAACUACCUUUCCCCUCCAGCUAAGCGUAAAGCCUGUGCCAGGAGUGGAUACGACAAUAGUGCAACGGGUGGGAUUUGACACAGCGCGGCGG